rnacentral:lncRNA from 1 species
CACAAUAAGUAUGAAACAGCGGGUCACCUUCACUGCUUCAGAUAUUUAUGAGCAUGGCAAGCCAGCUCUUGCUCACUGCUGGUGAAGAAGCACACACUGAAUCAAAAUACACCUUCAGUAUGAUUUGAUACAGAACCAACAUUUCACCAAAUAUGAAGGAAAGAAAUGUGUGCUUAUACUACACUGCCUUUUAAAGACUAUACAAGCAACAUGGAACUGAAUGUAAUUGUACUUUGGAAUUGCCUGGACCUGGUCUUCUCUGAGGAUUUAUAACAGUAGGAUGAUACAUACAGUUGUGAUAAGGACUUGGAAGUGGUCAUGCUUUGACACAGAUCAUUCUCAACUGCAGAAAAUUCAACUAGAAAAUGGAUAAGUGACAUGUAUGUUCCAUUGUGCUGAGGAAUAUAUUUUACAAGUGAGAGUAAAGCAGAAAAUUAUCAACUAGAGUACAAAUAUUAUUUCCUUAAUCUAGCCAACCUAGUUAAUAUGCUUCCUGUUACAAUGAGAAGAAAGAAAGGCACCUAGUGGCUUCAGGACAGGAGGAGAUAUAGAAAAGAUGGAGAAAAGACUCCAGGUUCAAUUAGGAAAGUGGAAGAAUUAUAAGUGCAGAUGAUGUUAUGGAUAAUAUUUUCCUCAUGGAACAAAAUCAGCAAGCAGCAGGGAGAAGCAAGAGGGUGAUGCUCUGCAAGGCAAACCUGAAGCUGAGGACAGGAUCAAGGCAAAGAGGGCAGUGACCUCACUGACAAGAGCAUGUGAGUGAAGGG